GUGUAACAUUAUACCCACACCCAUAGCCCUGCCAACAUGGAGGAGAAAGUCUGCAAGAUGUGAAUGUUGGGUUAUUCUCCCUGUGUAUACAUAUAAUACGACCCAACAACAUUGGACACCAUACUUUUCCGACAGGAGGACAAAGGCUGGUAUUGUUCACUCUUUGGCAUGCUCAGACUUUCCCUCGCAAACGGGAGACACAGUGGAUGCUCAUCGGCGCACCCUGCUCAAAGAGCGCAGUGGAAAAAGAUGGAGAGAUGCGGUCGGCUGAAGGGAUGGUCGCUCACACUCUCUAAACCGUAGCCCACAUAUAACAGUGUAUAUUAUCAUUCGUUCAUACUCAUGGAGAUCUUGAGCAAAUGUGAGAAUUUUGGAUGGUUUUAAAGGGACAAGGGUUCCUUAUUGUAAUUUGGACUAAGGUGAAUUUUUUAAAAGCUAAGAUACUAAUUCAUUGAAAUAUUAAAAAAGUUAAACGUUAUCCUCAACAGAGUAUCCUCCAAAGAUAUGUGCCUCUACAGAGAGUCUUGUGUGCUGGAAGGAGGUCAUGAAUUCCUGUCUGAUAAACCUCUGAAUAGCGAUGUGAUGGCACUUUUGGAAUGUAGAGGCUUCAGCAAACAUGAAACAUUCCCGCUAUGAUUUACUAUCUACUGCUGGUGCUUGUUUAAAGGAUUUUCUUCUAAAUUGAUUUUCUGUGUGCUCGGGAAACGCUGAAGGAGCCGAAAAUCAUAAUUAGUUUAUAAGAGAGUAAGGAAAUGUGGUGAAGACACUUUAAGCGAGUCCUUUCCUGCUGAAGGCUAAUAACAGCUUUCUGGUUCCUGCCUUCAGGCGCUGUGGAUUAUUCAUCAGUGGAAUUUCUGUUUGGUGGAAACAUACAGAGAGAGAAGGGGGAGAUGAUGGGCGUUCUUUUCCCUACUAGCUGGUUAUCUUCUUCUGCCAGCUACUUGCUCGGAGACUUCCACCUGGUGACUCGGAGCUCAACAGGCAUUCCAGCGCCGGCCAGCACAAAGAGCUCUUUUCAACAUGCCUAAUCCCAGCAGAGGAGUGCAGAAGGGGCCCGGCUCUCCUCCACUGAGGACCACAGGACCCGCACUACGAAUUAAUAGAUACAGCAGGUCAUGCCUGAUACACAUUUAACCUGUGUAUGUAUAAUGCUUAACUAAGUUAACUAAACAAACAGGCCAAACAUAGUUUAUAAUUGUUAAAGUUGUUUGUCAAACCCAUUUUUGUCAAUUAAGUAUAAAUAACAAACGCUGUGUUAUUAAUACGCAGAUCGAUGAGAACGGGUACUGGUUUGUCUUUUGGUUCAAUGGAGAGUUUUGGAAACCAGACUGGUUUCUGCUGGUAAAUGCUAGUCUGUUGCUGGUCUAGCUGGUGGACUAGAACAAUCAAGACAAAACUGAUCAGCAUGGGUUGCAAAGUAAACCAUAUUCUACUUAAGCGGAAGAGCAGUUUAAUUCAGGAGCACUGUUUAUUACCAAUGCAUAAAAAACUAGGUUGUCACUGUUAUCCCAGAAUUGCUUGGUUUCCCACAAGUUAAUGUGGAACAUGAUGUUGUUGACAGAUUAAUUGAGGUUUCAUAAAAAAAUUAAAUAUGUCAGAAAUAUGAUAUUAAUAUAUUAGAUUUGUUUUUAUCUAUAUUAAUAUUGCUUUACCUCUAGAUGUAGAUUUUGUCUUAUGCCAUGAAGGCAGCACCACAUGCACACUGUCAUUGUUUGAGAAAAUGUCUACACACAUGCUUGUAUCUUCUGAACAGAAGACUUCAAUGUCUGAUGCAACCAAAUAAAAAACGCUUCUGCUUG